rnacentral:misc_RNA from 1 species
GGAUUAUGAUCCUUGCUCCAACUAUGGCAACUGGACAUAUGGAGCAGGUGUUGGCAAUGACCCGAGAGAAGACCGUUACUUCAGCAUUCCGAAGCAAGCUCAAAACUAUGAUCCUGAAGGGGAGUUUGUUGCAUACUGGUUACCAGAGUUAAGAGCACUUCCAAGAGAGAAAAGACACUCUCCUGGAAUGAUGUACUUAAAUCCAAUCGUAGCUCUCAAACAUGGAUAUACCAAGAAGACUGGUGAUUCAAAAACAGCCUUUUCAUCAAGAAGAGGCAGACCAGAAGACAAUAGACGAAAGCGACACGGCUACUGAUUUUCAGGUCAUAAGUCACGAAAUUGCAACUGAGAUGAGUUUGUUUGCUGCAUAAUAUUCUUUAUGUAAUAAAUACAUCUGUGAGUAGAACUAUCCUGAUCUCACCUGCGCUACUAUACUGGGUAUGUUGUUGUUGUCUGUUAGUAGAGCUAGCCUUGAUCACAUUGGGUAUCUGGGAGCAUGG